CCUGGCUCAGAUUGAACGCUGGCGGCAUGCCUUACACAUGCAAGUCGAACGGCAGCGGACCUUCGGGUGCCGGCGAGUGGCGAACGGGUGAGUAAUAUAUCGGAACGUACCUUUCAGUGGGGGAUAACGUAGCGAAAGUUACGCUAAUACCGCAUAUUCUGUGAGCAGGAAAGCAGGGGAUCGCAGGACCUUGCGCUGAUUGAGCGGCCGAUAUCAGAUUAGCUAGUUGGUGAGGUAAAGGCUCACCAAGGCGACGAUCUGUAGCGGGUCUGAGAGGAUGAUCCGCCACACUGGAACUGAGACACGGUCCAGACUCCUACGGGAGGCAGCAGUGGGGAAUUUUGGACAAUGGGCGCAAGCCUGAUCCAGCCAUGCCGCGUGAGUGAAGAAGGCCUUCGGGUUGUAAAGCUCUUUCGGCCGGGAAGAAAUCGCACAGGUUAAUACCCUGUGUGGAUGACGGUACCGGAAUAAGAAGCACCGGCUAACUACGUG
rnacentral:rRNA from 1 species